UGGCUUUCUCCCAGUCUCCCUAUAAUGCUUCUAUUGUGAAUGCUAUUUCACAUUCAAUAGUUGAUGCUAAAAUGGCUUUUCAUCCCAUCUCAGUGCUGGAACCCUCAGCUGCACAGAAUGCUUUUGUCCUUGUGUAACAUGGCCCUCUGCAAUACUCAUCUGUGUGGAUGGAGCCUCACUGACCUGGUUCUGGAGGGUGCCUGUUCCCAGGAGGGAUACAGAUGCACACACUUGCAAAAAUGCCUUGUCCUGAAGUAUAGCCAGACACUCUGGAUUACCACCUACAGUGUAAGUGUUUCUGAUGAUGACAUCCAAAGCGUCCAUCUUGCUAAAGAUGGUUUGCUUGUCUGCACUUCUGGAUUCCUCCACAAGCUGAGUCUCUAA
rnacentral:lncRNA from 1 species